rnacentral:rRNA from 1 species
UGUGAAAAUAAAUAGCCGCAGUACCCUGACUGUGCUAAGGUAGCAUAAUCAAUAGGCUUAUAAUUUAAGUCUGGUAUGAAGGAAGAUUUGGGGGUUUCCUGUCUCACCUGAAGUAGAUGGAAUUUUUUUAAAAAGUGCAAAAACUUUUAGAUAAUCAUUAGACGAGAAGACCCUAGAAAUUUUUUAACAUAUUUUGUUGGGGCGACAAAGUAACAAUUAACUUACUUAUAUUUAUCUGAAGUGGAUAUACAGAAUGUAAAAAUUACUCUAGGGAUAACAGCAUAAUUUCUGCGAAGUUUGUGACCUCGAUGUUGGACUAGGUAUUAUUAAGUUUAGAAGAUUUAAGUUGA